ensembl:lncRNA
CAUUAGUUAAACUGUUGGCACCGAUUUGCAGUUGGAGCGAAACAUCUUACAGAAGAGGCAAAGAAGCAGUAGUUGAUGUGAAACAGUGAAAGAGCCUGUCAAAACUCAAUUACAGUGGGAAAUGAGAAAAACCCUGACAUUUCAGUUUGACUGAAUCAAGCCAAAGUGUCUGGUUUAAGUUUGACUUCUUAAAGCAGCUGGAGUCAUUUAGGCUAGAAGAUGUAUUCUUUUAAAGUUCAAACAUUAAACCCGAAUGUAUUUGUCGAGUUAAAUAACAGGCACUCAAAUUGUUUUAAAUGUCACUCAGUUCAUGUGUUAAUUUCUGUCGUGUCAUCAUCGGACGUCCUAUCAGCUUCAAACUGGUGGGUGAAAUCUGAUUUUAUGCUGGCCAAGUGACGACUAACAGUUCACCUCAGCUCUAAAAUGUGUUUACCAGUGUUGGCUACCCUGUUGUAUCACUGAUCUUAUCACACACAAGUAUUUUAGGAUUUUCUCAGUGCGUGAGGUUGCUAAACUAAAAUACACGCUGAAUUGUGAAACUCCUGUUUGUCACAUACUGUCAGUUUGUACAAAAGUUUAGACAGGAAACCGAAUUUCCAUCCAGCAAAAUCCAAAAGUAAACAAAGGCAGUCACGGCGUGACAGUAUUUCCGAGGGAGGCGCCAUAAUGCAUCGACAGCCUGGGCUGACAGUUUUCUUUUUCUUUCUUUCUUUCUUUUUGUUUUUUGUUUUUGUUGGACCCUCGAAGCUCAGACAGUUCGUGCAAUGAUAGUCACACAGCCUUAACGAUGAGCAGAGAGUGAUUUUGGAAAGCCGGCGUCGGUGCUUGGUUAGCAUCUUGCUCAUUCAAUUAAACUGUCUAAUGAAGCUAAUGAAAACGAUUUCCAGUGACGGUGAGAGUCAUAAUUGGCCCAUUAAGCUUAAAGAGGUAAGAUAUGUUUGAGGCUGCGUGUUGUUUGCGUUGCAGCCUAAUGGAAGAGAAGCUGAUAAAUAUGCACAAAGUGAAGAAGCAUAUAGGUUGACAGGCUGUUGAAUCUUUGGCAGUGUCCCUGCUUGCCAUUGCUGGACAUGUUGCUUUUCAAGCUGUUGAGUCUGCAGUAAGCCCAUCUGUGCCAUUCCCUGUUAGAAACCAUCAGUAGCAAAAAUUUUCCAUUUAUUAAAUGCUCAGCAUUAAAAGAGGAAUAAAGUUAAUAGCCAGAUGGGAUGAAAUACUAGAGGGAGAGGCCAGCGUUUUGCAUGUUAAAGACUAAAAAACAGCAAUU